GAUGAACGCUGGCGGCGUGCCUAACACAUGCAAGUCGAGCGAACAGACGAGGCGUUUGCUCGUCUGACGUUAGCGGCGGACGGGUGAGUAACACGUGGAUAACCUACCUAUAAGUCUGGGAUAACUUCGGAAAACCGGAGCUAACACCGGAUAAUAUAUUGAACCGCAUGGUGCAAUAGAGAAAGACGGCUUUGCUGGCACUAAUAGAGGGAUCCGCGCCGUAUUAGCUGGUUGGUAAGUUAAAGGCUUACCAAGGCAACGAUGCGUAGCCGACCUGAGAGGGUGAUCGGCCACACGGGAGCUGAGCCACGGUCCAGACUCCUGCGGGAGGCAGCAGUAGGGAAUCUUCGGCAGUGGGCGAAAGCCUGACGCAGCAACGCCGCGUGUGUGAUGAAGGUCUUCGGAUCGUAAAGCUCUGUUAUUAGGGAAGAACAGAUGUGUAAGUAACUAUGCACGUCUUGACGGUACCUAAUCAAAAAGCACCGGCUAACUACGUG
rnacentral:rRNA from 1 species